rnacentral:lncRNA from 1 species
CUGUGAUAAUUUCUCAUGGAAUGAUGAAUGUCAGAAAGUAGCAGUGAAAUUAAUAUACACUGUACUUAAAAAAUUAAACACUUGGGAAAUAACCCUUUGAGCCACUGGAAAAUGAUAAAGUCUAAGACAUUUCAAUCAAGUUAAUUUCGGUACUAAAGCAAUGCAUUUUUCCCACCAGAAACUAUAUGAAAAAACAAAUUAAACAAAAUG